rnacentral:lncRNA from 1 species
AGGAGGAAGACAUGGAGGAACCACUUUAACCAAGCCAAAACCAAAGCUAUAGAUGACUCGUUGUCCUAAACCAGGUUGAAGGUGAAUGCGCUAAAAUCAUGAACUGCCGGCUCGCCACACGACGAGAAUCAGAGAGCCAUGGAACACGCCGACGUGGAACAAACCACGGCGCAACCUCCCGAGCAGAAGCAGAUCGAGAGACCGCUUUUGACGAGACACCAAGUGAAAGCG